rnacentral:rRNA from 1 species
CAGUAGCCGCGGGAAUACGGAGGGGGCUAGCGUUGUUCGGAAUUACUGGGCGUAAAGCGCGCGUAGGCGGCUUGGUAAGUUAGAGGUGAAAGCCUGGGGCUCAACCCCAGAAUUGCCUUUAAGACUGCCGAGCUAGUAGGUGAGAGAGGUAAGUGGAAUUCCGAGUGUAGAGGUGAAAUUCGUAGAUAUUCGGAAGAACACCAGUGGCGAAGGCGGCUUACUGGCUCAUUCUAGACGCUGAGGUGCGAAAGCGUGGGGAGCAAACAGGAUUAGAGACCCCUGUAGUCCCUGUCUCUUAUAC